CAAAGCGUAGCUUAAGCUAAAGCAUCCAGCUUACACCCGGAAGAUAUCACCAAUUAACCGAUCGCUUUGA
rnacentral:tRNA from 1 species